GUGCCAGCAGCCGCGGUAAUACGGAGGGUGCAAGCGUUACUCGGAAUCACUGGGCGUAAAGGGUGCGUAGGCUGACUUUUAAGUCAGGCGUGAAAUCCAAUGGCUUAACCAUUGAACUGCGCUUGAAACUGGGAGUCUAGAGUUCAGAAGGGGCAGAUGGAAUUAGUGGUGUAGGGGUAAAAUCCGUAGAUAUCACUAGGAAUAUCAAAAGCGAAGGCGAUCUGCUGGGAUGAUACUGACGCUGAGGCACGAAAGCGUGGGGAGCAAACAGGAUUAGAAACCCCCGUAGUCC
rnacentral:rRNA from 1 species